rnacentral:rRNA from 1 species
UACGUAGGGUGCAAGCGUUGUCCGGAAUUAUUGGGCGUAAAGAGCUCGUAGGCGGUUUGUUGCGUCGGCUGUGAAAUCCCGAGGCUCAACCUCGGGUCUGCAGUCGAUACGAGCAAACUAGAGUGUUGCAGGGGAGACUGGAAUUCCUGGUGUAGCGGUGAAAUGCGCAGAUAUCAGGAGGAACACCGGUGGGCGAAGGCGGUGGUCGUGGGCCGGAACUGACGCUGGAAGCGCGAAAGCUAGGGGAGCGAACGGG